CUUCCAUCUGUGCAGCCCGUCCAGUUUUCCCACCAGAGGAGGAGACAUUUCAGGGGUGGUUAAUCAUUUUUGAUCUAUUCACACUGCAACACAGACACUACUCUCACCUUUCCAUGUUUUAGACAUGCUGUGCUGGAUUCCCUGCUUCUUUCUGGGCUUUUUAUUUUGGGGCUCAGCUCAUGGGGUUCCCCAGACAAACGCCUGCCCCGACAUCACAGACCAGGAGCUGUUCUGGGGUUCUGACCAGUACGACUUUGCUAUAGUGCUCCCUGCUGCUGGGUUGGAGUGUUUCUGGCACUUUGCUCACCGUGGAGAGAGAUUUUACUUGAACUUCAUGCUCAGCAUUUAACAGCAUCAUCUUCUCAAAACUUGCCUCGGAGCUUGUUGACCUUGGGCUGGGAACAUCUAUCUGCAGAUGGAUUCUCUGAUUCCUCACAAACAAGCCCCAGGUGGUGAGAGUUGGUAAGCACACUUCCUCAUCACUCAUUUUAAACACAGGAACGCCACAGGGUUGUGUGCUUAGCCCCCUCCUAUAUUCCCUGUUCACACACCCCACACUUCACAAGAUGCACACAGAAGCUGUCCUACAGUUUCUCAAGUACACUCUGCACUGUGCAUUUCAUUUUUAUUAUUAUAAAAAUGAAAAUAAAAACUCUAACUCUGUGCAAUACUGUACUAACUCUGUUUCAUUAGUUAGAUUUGUUCCAGCCGUGUUUCCACCUGUUUCUCAUCCUCUCAAUAUCCUGUCUAUUUAAGCCCUCAGUUUGUCUCUGCUCAUGGUCACGACAUCGCCAAUGCCUCGUGCGUGCACCCUGUAGAUGUUACUAGUCUCAUCAUUGUGGAGGAAUUUCCUCCGUCUCCACUCUGCAGUCAGUUUCAGCACCGUUCUCUGAAGGUCCCACCACAGCUUCUCAGUUAGGCUGAGGUCUGGACUGACUGGAGCAUUGCACCACAUUGAUUCUUUUUCUUUUUUUCAGCCAUUCUUUUGGAGAUUUGGCACUCUUCUUGGUAUCAUUGUCCUGUGGGUGACCCAAUUUGGUCUGAGCUUUAGCUGCGGGGCUGAUGGCCUCACAUCUGACUCUAGAAUACAAUACAAUACAACUUUAUUUGUAUAGCAUGUUUAAAAGACCAGCGGUACACCAAAGUGCUUUACAAUAAAAACAGGAAAAUUAAGACAUGAUUAAAUAAAAGACUAUUAACAAAGUACCACAUAUGUCAUCAGGUUAAGGGCACUAAUUAUAUGGCAACAGAAGGGAAUAUAAGAACAAAGUUACUAAUUUCAGAUAUUACUAAAAGAUAAAGUACAUAAAUAUAAAAUUGAACCAAAUAUAAAUUAGGGACACUAACUACGUGCGUGUGCGCAUGCGCGUUCAGGUGUGCUGGGGGUAUGCGAGUUCAUGUGUUUUUAACUGGGUUUUAAUUUAGGGUUUUUAAUUAAACUAUUUUUAUCGCUUUGGCUGUCUCAACAUUCAGUUAUGCAGACAUGUGUGUUCUUAAAAGCAAUUCUUUGUUUUUGCGUGGAGGGGUGGAAGCCGUUUUGCUUCACAGUGCGCCUUAACAAAGCGGGAAUGCUUUUUAUUUACAUCUAGUCAAAAGUGUUAGUAAUAGUGUUUUAAUCACACUAAUUUUGUGAUUCUGACAAUGUCUCAGCUUGCAGUGAUGCAUGCAUUUUAUUUUAAAAACGGCACAAAUGGGAAUUUCUUCUGUACGGGCAAUGUCAGCCUGUUCACAAGCGUUUCAUGUAAUCAAACCACUAGUUUUAACAAGUUUUUACGCAUCUACUGGGGUUUCUUUCACGGGUUGAUGCAAUCAUUUUAUUUAAAAAUCGGGAUUUCGGAAUGUUGAUCCAAGAGGGAGACAGAGCCUGCUAGUUUUUAACGCAAUAGGUGGUCACAAAUAACAUUCAGUCCUUUUGGGAAAUAAAUGCUGCAGUGAUACUUCUAAAACCAGUCGCGCAAGCCCCAUCCGUCUUUUAACAGCCGGUUAAUUGUUUGAAUUUGUUCAGGAACGCAAAAGCCCACCGUGGGUAUCAUUUAAUUGUUGGGAUUCCUUAGGAAAAGGUAAAAGCCGACAGGUGUACCAGUCGAGCGGGGACCCGACCUAUUGCUUAAAGUGACCGGUAUCGGCUCUUUUUGUAAUUCCUCGACAAGGUAAAAGCCCCGCAGAUGUACCAGUCGAGCAGGGUCUCGCCUAUUUUCUGAAGUAGCCAGCAACAGCGGACCAUUAGGCCUAUUUUGGCCAGUUACACCGGAGCUCAGCAACUGCAUGCCCCACCCUCAUUGUUUUAAGCUUGCACAGCAAGGUGAUGCCCUGCAGGUGUAUCGCCCCAGACUUAUCGGCCCCCCAUCUAUUGUUUUUGGAAGCGUUCCUCAGGGCGUGAGACCCUCGCCAUUUCGCGUCAGGACCAGCGCCGGUGCAGACCAUUUUCUACCCACACAGAGCGUUUCUGACAGGCGGCCGUUGCUUAUGCGUAAGAGAAAAGAACAAUACAACGCGGUUCUCUGCUCCAAGACAUCCGCGGUCCUUUCACACGAUGAUGAAAUCCUCUUUAUUUGAGAAAGUGUCCCUAAGCUACUGCGGCUCACUGAGUUCCCUAGCUACUUCUUUACUAUGUCAGUAAACUUUUUGAACAAGAAAGGUAUGGUAGAUUUAAGACACAUCUUAAUUGAAGCAAAGGCAAAAAAUCUGAAUGAAUCUUAUGUGGUUGUUCAUAUUAAAUCCAUCAAAGAGUGAAAAUCCAAAAGCUGCUGCAAUCCUUUGUAUUAAUGAUCUCUCUCUCUGUGUGUGUGCGUGCGUGCGUGCGUGCGCGCGCGUGUGUGUGUGUGAGAGAGUCCGUGCGUGCUCGCAGAAGGAAGGUCAAGGCAGGAGCUUUUUUGUUUGAAUGCAUUUCCAAUCAGCUUUUUUUUUUUUUUUUUACAAGAAGUGUGGCUCAUACAUUGCAAUAAAUGUAUUCUGCUACAUCUGCUAACGAGAGAACAUGUUUUUUCAUCAUAAAGACUGUGAUAUGAAGCAUUGUUAAAGUGUCACUUCAGUAAUGCUGCUGAGAGAAACAAGUGUUGACUCAUUUUUUUUUUAAAAUACAUGACUUAAAACACUAAAUUCUAAUUUCAAAGGUUUAUUUUAAGUUUAAAGAAUAUAACAGCUGGUAAGACGAUGAGUUUUGCUUCUCACUGUCCAUGUUAUGUUGUAGUAUCCAUUAUCAUGUAUGCUACUUUGCUCUGUGGACUGUAAAAUGUUUCAUUGUAUUCAUGAAAUAAACCAGACUUUCAAUGUCUGAAUCUUUUACCGUUUUUCUGCUUUUGUUCACCCCAAGUUGACAAAACCUGAAGAUAUCCAGAGUUAACUCACUAAAAUGUGGAGCAGUCUCAGUGUAUUCAGCUGCUUUUAUCCUAAACACAAUAUAAAUAUACAAUACACAAUAUAGUGUGUGUGUGUGUGUGUGUGUGUGUGUGUGUGUGUGUGUGAAUGCCUUAGAAGUCAAAAGUAU
ensembl:lncRNA